rnacentral:rRNA from 1 species
GUAUCUUCGGAUAUGAGUAGAGCGGCGAACGGGUGAGUAACGCGUAGGAAUGUACCUAGUAGAAGGGGAUAGCCCGAGGAAACUCGGAUUAAUACCGUAUACCUCCUUCGGGAGAAAGAAGGCCUCUCUUUGAAGCUUUCGCUACUAGAUCAGCCUGCGUAAGAUUAGCUUGUUGGUGAGGUAAUGGCUCACCAAGGCUACGAUCUUUAGCUGGUCUGAGAGGACGAUCAGCCACAUUGGGACUGAGACACGGCCCAGACUCCUACGGGAGGCAGCAGUGGGGAAUAUUGGACAAUGGGCGCAAGCCUGAUCCAGCCAUACCGCGUGUGUGAAGAAGGCCUUCGGGUUGUAAAGCACUUUAAGCAGGGAGAAAAAAAUAUAGGUUAAUACCCUAUAUUCUUGAUGUUACCCGCAGAAUAAGCACCGGCUAAUUCCGUGCCAGCAGCCGCGGUAAUACGGAAGGUGCAAGCGUUAAUCGGAAUUACUGGGCGUAAAGCGCGCGUA